GAUUUACAUUACAAGUAAUACAACCAGAAGGCAGCGAAGUAUUUCUUGAUGCUUCGUAAAUCUAAUUUCAACGCAUUUGCUGAAUUUCUCUUUGGAUUUUGGCCAUAUAAAUGGACUGUCGUUUUCUUAGUUUUGAACAGGUUUUAAAUUUACAUUUCUGCGCAUCUGUUCGCUAUAAUUCCGUGGCAUUUGGCCCAUGUAGUGGAAUUCACGGUUUUAAAAUUUCAGAAGUAUUUCAUCCAAUUCCAUGGCUUCCGUCGAUCUGCAAGAAAAAGCAAAUUUUACAAGACUCAGUAGACUUUUGGUUGACAAAGGUACCGACGCUUUGAGAAAUACAUUUGAUACCAUCCUUCCACCUGUUAGUCUACCCGGAGUACUGGCUGCAAACAAAACAUCUCUUCAAAGAAUAAAACCUCGAGUUAUUAAUAAUUCCCAGUGGGAUUUACUGUUUCCUCCGUCUGGCAACCCACCAGAUUCCAAAAACUUUGAUGUCACAUUACUUACUGUUCUAUUUCGGAACAUUUGUGGUUUUCCAUCAACAGGAUGGAGUGUGAUGCCUCCGGAUACUGAUAGGUCAACGCAGGCGAACAUCGCAAGAGUCAAGUUUUACCGAAAUGAAAUUUAUGCACAUGUAACAACAACUCGAGUAAACAAUUCAACAUUUCAGUCUUUAUGGAAGAAAAUUGCCCAGGCAUUGGUAGAAUUAGGCGUUCCCAAAAAUGAUCUUGCAUGAGAAUUUAGAAAAAUGCCCUUUAGCACCAGAGGAAGAAAUGUAUGUUCAAAAGCUAAAAGAUUGCAAACUCAAAGAAGAUGAGUGCAUUAAUAUGCUCGCAACAAUGCAAUAUUCUGUAAAUCAUGUAACACAAAUCGUUGAAGAAAACCGCGAUGGAAUAAAUCAACUGCGCCAGUCACAGAGUGAUGAAAAUGUCUUGCAAAAACUUGCAAAGCAUAAUUUUAAAGGUAAAAUUGAAAGAAAAUUGGAACUUUUCUUAGCUGGAACACGAGAGUAGUUAUUAAAGAAAGUUAACGAUUGGUUUUAUAACAGUGAUAACGAUUCACGAAUUUUUUUAAUAACCGCUAGACCAGGAUUUGGUAAAAGCGUGUUUGCUGCUAAAAUCUAUGAAGAUUUUGAGAAGAGAGGAAAGCUGGCUGCUUGUCACUUUUGUGAUUUCAGUAAUUAUAACCUAAGAAAUCCGAUGGUGAUGUUGCAGUCUCUCGCAAGUCAGAUGUGUACGAGCGUCCCUGGUUUUAAAAAGGAGCUCCUUGAU